ACCUGGCUGGCUCAGUUGGUGGAGCAUGAGACUCUUGAUCUCAGGGUUGUGGGUUCAAGCCCCAUGUUGGGUA